UCUUCCACACUUACUCUCCCUCAGUCCACCCCGCUUGCUCUUACGCUUUCUCUCUUCACUCUCUUCCAUGUCUUUUCCACUUUCACAGUCGUAUUUCUCUUCUCAUCUUUCGCCGUCGUCGACUCGACCGCCACCGUCAGCGGUGGAUUUUCUCCUGCGGCCUCCUCUCUAGCUCUCUCCGUCCAGUUGCCUCUUCCGUUUCCCGGCGGUCGAUCAAUGGCUCUGAGCGCGACAGUCACAGUGAGGCAACCAAAUACGACACACAAUUCUUUUACGACUUGGGAAGCAUUCCGGUGACGAUUCAAUUUCCACCGUUGAGUGAUGGCUCAGUGGCCCCGUAACUUUUGCAAUUGAAAUUCUAACGGUGGUGCAGCUAUAUGCAUCUUUGUGGAUGAAUGUAUGAGGUCCGGUCGUUGAAUAUGCCAGGUUGUUACUUGCUUAGUUGAAGAGACUUUGAUUUGCGGGAGGAAAUAUAUGAUAUUAGUUUUGAUUCAUGAAGUUAUCUGAUGGAUGAAGGAGAAGCUUUUGAACUAGCUCAAUGCCAUUUCAUGGUCAUCAAAACCUUGGAGGAAUAUGUGUCUCUUGCUACAGUUAUAAAAGUAGGAGAAGAUCUUCAAUGGCCUUUAACUAAAGAUGAGCCUGUGGUGAAGCUAGAUGCUCUCCAUUACAUUGGAGUGAUUUCUAUUUUUUGAAUGAAUUUUAAGUUCAUCUGAUUGAUGAAGGAGAAGCUUUUGAUAUCUAUUUGUAUCCUACUAAAUGAUUUCCAUAUUAUAUUUGUAUCUACUAAACGAUAUCUAUUGAAUGUUCUUUUUUAGUUAUAAGUUGAUUAAGGGUCCUUUAAAGUUUGCAUCUGAUUUUUUGACAUUAAUUUAUGGAGAAUCAUUGAUCUUUAAAGCGCUGACUUUUUUUUGAUGUAAAUGGUCAGUUUUUUCGAUGUAAAUCGAUCAACAAAAAGUCAAGGGCAGUCGUUAAAACAAGUUGCUACCGCACGGGUCAUAUAUAGUUGAGAACAUUUUAAUGGUUAGUAGGAGUAGACACUCUAACCUCUCUUACUGUUUGUGUUUUUGUUGGAUUGCAGGUGAAUUGGAAACUAAUUAACAGGACUUUCAUGCUAUUGUUGUUACAAGACAGUUCCCACAAUAUAUGUAUUUGCAAUCUGUUUCAUGGUAUUGAAAAUGCAUUAUGAAUUCACUUAUCUGUAUUUUUGUGUGUUUUUCAAAUGAAUUUGCAAUCUGUUUCAUGGUAUUUGCAAUCAGUUUUUUUCCAAUGGAAAACUUUAUGUUGCGGUUUCUAGAGUUACCUCAAGAAAAGGAUUGAAAAUUCUAUUGGCACAUGAAGAUGGUAACUGUAUGAAUACUACAUCAAAUGUUGUGUA